AGAAAUGAAAGGAGAGCCUGUGCAGAAGGAAGCAUUUCCCAGAGGAAGCAGUGGUUCCCUGCCAGCCUCUGCUGCAGGAAGGGAGGCCAUGCCAGGCACAGACACAGGAGAUGAAGUUGCUGGGAAGGCUUCUCCAUCAGCUUGGAUGAAUAAAGUUUUGAAGCCCUUGGAGCCUCCUGCAGAUGUAUCUACAGGGAGGACUUCUCCAGCUUCUCCAGCUCCUACCUUGGAUGCUAUACGCAAGCCCAGCUCCCGUCACAGUGGUACUCCAACAGGGAAAGUCCAAGAUACAACAGAUAAGAUGUCCCUGCAACCUUCCAAACAGAUGAGGCAAGAGCUGAAGGAACCCCUGCAGACAAGAGAAG